GAUGAAGAACGUAGCGAAAUGCGAUAAGUAAUGCGAAUUGCAGAAUUUCCGUGAAUCAUCGAGUCUUUGAACGCACAUUGCGCCCCCUGGUAUUCCGGGGGGCAUGCCUGUCCGAGCGUCAUUGCUGCCCUCAAGCCCGGCUUGUGUGUUGGGUCUCGUCCCCCUUCCCGGGGGGACGGGCCCGAAAGGCAGCGGCGGCACCGCGUCCGGUCCUCGAGCGUAUGGGGCUUUGUCACCCGCUCUGUAGGCCCGGCCGGCGCUUGCCGAUCAACCAAAACUUUUUUCCAGGUUGACCUCGGAUCAGGUAGGGAUACCCGCUGAACUUAAGCAUAUCAAUAAGCGGAGGA
rnacentral:misc_RNA from 1 species